CAAACCGAACCGGCGCGGAAACCGAGCAAGCCAAAACAAGCUCGAAUCCACGGAGAAGAAAGAAACAGUGCGUGAAUCGGAGCAAACGGAACUGGAACAGCAAGUUUGAGGUAUCUAAGCUUGAAUCCGACUAAGAGAUAAGGUAAUAGAAGCUUCUUUCACGUUUGUUUUUUUAUCUUUGUUUUUGUUUGUUGUUUCAAAAAUAAUUCGAAUCUUCAAGCUUAGAUCUAGCCCAAAUCUCUCUACCCUUUUAAAAAAUAACUUCAAAAUCGUGUUUAGAAGGAGAAAGAGAAGAGGAUUGUAAAAAAAAAAAAUUAAAAAAAAUAAAGUUUAGUUUUCCGAUGCGGUGGCUCCGCUGCCGGAAACCAGCCGGCCGCCGCGUCGGACCACCUUCCUCCUUCUUCUCCGACAAAGCUUUUAUAGAGAGAGGGGAGAGCAUUUUUGUGUUAUAAGUUUUUUUUUAGAGAGAGAAGUAAAUUAAGUUAUGUGUGUUUUGUGUGUGAAAUUGCUAUAUAUAUAUAUAUCCCCCUGAUGCCAUGCGCGCGCCACCGUAAUGUUCACAAUACUGCGUUGUUUUUAUGCCAUCAGAUCUGGAUUGUUCUAGGAUCUGAUGGCUACUGCGUGUUUUGAUCUGGAAUCAUGUGUGUGUUCUCCUGUGUGAAAUAUGGCGUAUUUUCUGUUUGAACCGUCAGAUCGUUGAUCUGACGGUCAUUGUGUUUCCUGUGUUAUUCCUCUGCUUUUGUGCUGUAUUUUUAAAACUGUUAGAUCUUAGAUCCUGUGGCUGUGAUGAGUAUUCCCUGUGAUUGGAUCUGGAUCCUCUGAUUAAUCAGACGGUCCCGAUUGGUCCAGUCUGAGCCCACUGUUUUUAAAAUUCACUACUGUUUUACUUUUGUCACCUUUGUUUUUACUUUUUGCACCUCUUUUACUUAAAAUUUCUCUAAAAAUUUACAAAAAGAUAUUUUACUUUGUGUUAAACAUUUAUUUACUGUUUUUUUUUUCAUUUAUUGUUAUAGUAUAUUUGAAUCAUCUCAUGCAUGUUUAAUUUUUGUCAUUUUAUCCUAUUGCUAUUCAUUUGCUCUUAGUGUGUAUAAAUAGGGGAUGGAUGUAAAUUUAUUUCUUGCAUUUUUAUUUCUGACUAUCAUAUUUCUCUUGAGACCAUAUAAUGUAUCUAGGAAUUGAUGUAAUAACACAACGCACCGACACACGCACCGACACCACCGCACUUUAUUUUCCGCUUUUAUUUUCUUUCAUGUUACGUCGUUGCGUUUAGUUUUUUAGCUAGCGUUUAGUUUAGAAAAAUUAUUUUCUCAAAAAAAUCAAAUAUGCAAAACUCCAAAAAUAUUUUCUUAAUAAACCUUGGUUUGUAACCCAAGUGUUUUUCUUUUUAUUUUCUUAAUCAAAUGCUUAAUUGAAUUAAUAUUCAUAAUAGACUUGAUUUCUUGUAAUUAAAAUUUGACCAACCUCACCUUAUUUUAUCUCAUGCCUUGAGGCUUCUUAUCCCUUCUUAAAACCAUUUUCUAAAAUUUAAAAUCAACCAACCCACCAAAAAAGAAACUUUUUAGGUGAACUACAUUGGUUUUGAUCCCUUUUCUUAAAGGGUAUGUAGGCAUGGGAUUUGUAUCCUUCCAAAUCAAAUAAAAAUAACCAAAAACAUACUUCUUCUCCCCCCAUUCUUUCACUUAGAUUUUUAGGUAAUUAAUUUUCAAAUAAGCAAUGAAUUUAGCACAAGAUAAAUUAGGUAAGAGGUUCCUAUGGAAUACCAUAGACGCUUAGGGUGCUAGCACCUUCUCUUCGCGUAACCAACCCCCGAAUCCAAAGUCCCGAUAAGGGUUUUUUACUCAUUUUUUCCCUUCCCACGAAUAAAAAUCGAGAGUUCAAAAAUUAACGAUUCAAAUCAAUUAAUGAUUUGAUAUCCGAAAAUCACGAGCACAGUCAUCAUUCGAUAAAAAAGUGUUUAUCAUAUUUGUAUGGAAAAUAUUGCAGACAACUCCUAUUUAGACUGCUAAGUUAUUGGGCUGGAAAUUAGAAAUCAAAGGUGCCUCCCAAAGUGAAGAAUUCAAUUUGGCUUAAAUGAUGAUGUUGUUUACCGAUGCGUGUAAGGAUAAAUGAUUGUCCAUUGUCCAUCUGUUUGUGUGAUAUGAACCGGUAACUGUGAGGAUGCAAGGUGUAUACUUCUCGAUUGUCCAAAUGCAGCUAAUGUUUGGCGAACAACGAGUUUUUGGCCUAUUAUAAAGAAGGAAAUGUAGUGAAAUUACACUAUAGAGACAAUUAUGUUUGCUUUAGUGCAGGUAAUGUAAAAAAUGCAGGUAAAGCAACUCGUUUCCAUCAUUUUGGAGCCUCUUAAAGAGUUGAAAUUUAUGUGUAUGUCAAGGCAUCAAACAAAUGAAACUUGCAGCCAUAUUUUGCAAUAGGCAAAACAUAUGUGUGCAAAUUGGCAGAUGAGGAAUAAUAUGACGGAGCAAAAAAGCACAUGCAAAUCACUCAAUGGUGCGCGCACAACAGCUUCCUGUACAGAAACGUUGGAGCAACAAGCGACACGUUGAAAACCAGCAACGGGACAACUCAAAUGCAAUAUAGACACGUCCUUCUUCACCACUUGGAAUUGUGUGGGGUUUUCGAUAUGUAUUCGUGAUGAUGAUGAUGAUGAUGGUGAUUAUGGGUGUUUUGUGCUUCCUAAAACCCUUUGGUCCGCUUUGAUUGUUCCACGGAAGUAGCCAAAGUGUUAGAUUUACAUGCAAAUAAUUGGAUGCAUGAUCUACAACUCACUAAUGUCGAUUUUGAUGUAAAUAAAGUUGUAGACUAGUACAACCAAGACCAAAACGACUUUACGAAAUUCGGUACUAUUUUAUAUGAAUACAAACGAUGUUGUAAUUUAUAUUUUGCAAACUCUCAUGUUGAGUUUACUCUGAGAGAAACGAAUGAGACAGCUAAUACCUUAGCUGGAGUGUCCCCAUUCUUAGGGAGUAUAUUUUUAUUGAUGUUCAACGAUAUAUCUUUGAAUUAAUAUUUAAUGAAAUGUUAUAAACUUUAUCCUUAAAAAAAAUAAAAAAAAUGUCGUACAUAGUAUUAAAACUCUUACGGGACCACAAUUAAAAUAUUACUAAAAACUUAACAUGAGAGUGUUUGAGAAUAUUGUGCUAGAGAAUGUGUUUUAAAUGGUUUUUUAUUUUUAUUUUUAAGUUUAAAGAGUACUUUGAAAUCUUAUAAAUCCAUAAAGUCAUUUCAAAUCCUAUGACAUCUUAUGAUGUAAAUCCUCUAAAAUCCCAAUUAUAAAUCUUAAUAGUCUUUUAAAAUCUUAAAAGUUAUUAAAAUCUUUCAAAGUCUUUUAAAAUUCACAGGACUUUUUUAUACAAAAAUUGUCUUUUAAAAUCCUAAUCCAAUACACCCCUUUAGUCUUGCAUCUUAUUAAGUUUGGAAUAAAAUUGAAACAUUAGAGAUUGGGACCACAAUUAAUAAUAAAAAAAAAUCUUUGAAUGUACUAUUUCUAAAAUAAAAUUUCUUGUUAGACUUCUUUGUUAUCAUUUCCCAUCAAAAUUGGGAUAGCAAAAUCAAUCAAGUCUUAUAAAAGAGAAUAAAAUUGAACUUCAAAAGUUAAUUAGUACAUUUCAAAUGUUUUUAUUAACUUUUUUUUUUCUCACAAUUAUAACAUUACAUAUCUUCCCCUCGAAAAAACAUUACAUGUCUAAUUAAUCUAUUUAUCUUAGAUAGUAAAUAAAAAAGUAAUGUCAAAAUGAACAAAAAGUUGUAAAAGUAAAAGAGAUUUAAAGGUACUAAUAUUCAAAGCACAUAGUGUUAAAAGUGUACAAAAAUUGAUCUUCUGUUUGGUUUGAUUCCAUUUGAAAAAAGAUAAAAUCCAAAGAUAAAUAGAUUAUUCAAAACAAUCGGAGCCAAUCCACUUGAAUCAGUUAAUUACCCCUCAAGAUAGCUAAAAAUAAAUUUCUUCUGCUAGGUAAAAUAAGUUACUCUAAUUCUACCCAAAAAAAAUGUUGCUCUAAAGUGAGUUUGAGCUCUAAAUAUAACUACUGUUCAUAUCAUUUGGUUUCUAAUAUAUUCAAGAUGUAUAUUAAACUAGAAUGAAUAACACAAUUGGCAAAAAAUAGCCAUAAAAGGGCAACUCGGUGCACUAAAGCUCCCGCAUAAGCAGGGUCCGUGAAGGGGUCCCACCAUCUGGUGUAUUGUACGCAACUAUCUUGUUUUUUACACAUGAGACUGUUUCCAUGACUUGGAACUCGUGACCUUUGAGACACAUGACAACAUCUUUAUGAGUUGCGCCAAGGUUACCUCUCUGGCAUAAAAUGGCCAUGAGAACAAAAUAUUUUUUAGAUGAAAUUUUUAUUUAGAUUGCAAAACUGAAAAACUCUUCCAAGUUCUAACACCCUAUUCCAAAUCCAGUUCAAAAAGUAGACUAUGUAUAUACACAACCUGAAAGCCAAGUACAAUUGACUUGUUGAGAUUACCAUCACUAUAAAAAACUAAAAACUAAAUCAAAAUGUCAUGCUAACAAAAAACCAAGCCUUAUUUCCUCAAAGGAAUAUUCAAUAUCUUGAAUCAAGUCACCUCCGAAAUGAGCCGGAGUCAUGGCUGUAUUCAUAGGAAUUGACACUGUCUUUGGUGUAGUAGUAGUGGUGGUGGAGACAGGAAUAGGAUUUUCUUUUGGAGUUCUAUUCUCUUCAUCGACCACUGCGUCUGUCUUUGAGAUAGUAGUAGUAGUAGUGAGUGGCAAAUUGUUAGCUGCUAAUGUUUUCUGCAAAUUCUGCUUCUGCAUACUAAAUUCAUCUGCAGCAUUUUCCACAUUCUCUAGUGAUGAUAUUGUUGAUGAGAUGGUAGUAAAAGGUUGUCGUGUCAAAGGAGAUUCGAUAUCCCGAACAAUUCCAGCACCAAAUGAGUAUUUUCUCGUAGGGAAAUCAGCAAUAUCAAAUCCUCUUCUAGCUGCAUGAACACAACGAAAACAAGCACUUGUAAGAGAUUUAAGUGCAUGCAAAUGAGAAACACAAAUAAAUUAUGGGAAAUCUACCAGCUGAGAUGUGGCUUUGACCUCCACCUCCAACAACAUCAAACAAAAAAAAUGCCUAAACCGUUCCAUGUUGCCACAUAGAGCCUUAUAAAAAACCCACCAUCAAGAGUACUUGGGAGAAUCCGGUGGAGAACCUUCGUCUAUAACAAAGGAAAACAUAAACAGGUAUCCAACAAUCUGAGGUUGUAUUUUAAAUGACAUGAGUUGAAGUAUCACUGUGGGAGAAUCUAUAAACAGGUAUUCAACAAUCAAUGGUUUUCGUUAGAUGGGAAUUUAACGUAUAACUACAUCGAUGGAGGUGCUUGGUGGAGACAAGAAAAAUACAUUUACAUUUUUCUUAGCAGGAUCUGUGCUUAGAUAACCUACCAGCCUACCGCAUCCAAAACAACCCCCUUAUCAAUUGAGUCAAAACUGAAGGCAACAAAGUCUUAAGAGAUUUGCAUUAUAAAUAACUGUUAAACCCUUACCAAGUGAAAAAUCUGCGAGCCGGAGAUGCAAAUGAAAAGCAAAACAAAAAGGGAGCAAAGCAUAUAAAAAGCUACCUGAUGAGAAACAUGAAAUGGCAUCGUCUAGGUUAUUUGUUUGCUCAAUUUGGUUUACUUUGUCAGUCUUCCUUGUGGAGCUUGAUUGAGUAGCUUUUGAAUCAGGUUUUAGCACUGAUCCUCCAAAGGUACCUCUUCUAUUAGCCGCACUUCCAUUUGGUGUCCUAGGCGCUUUUCUUGCACUCUGGGCCUUUGAAGGGCUUUUCGACCCAUACAGUACUUCCUGCUCUGCUAUCAUUUGUACCUGAAGUUUCUUCAAGUCCUGAAACAAGUCCGGAUAAAAGAAAAUAUACCAUUAUUUACUGGAAUCAUAGAUCAAUGACACGUUUCCUGGACUUCAAUAUUUUGAGACAAAACUCGAGGUUUUAUCAUUAACUAUAGGGCCUUACACACAAACUCGUAAAUCCCUAGUCACAUAGAAGCAACUUCAAGUAUCACGCUAAGGGUCUCCUUCUCAAGGUUUUCUUAUAACUAGAUAAUAACUUAUUUUGGAAAAACAUUUAAAUGCAAUGAGUGGUUCGUACCCGCUGUCUACGACGUUCUUGCUCCUUUUCUUGCCGUAAUAAGAUGUAGUCUUCAAGCAUAGAAACUAAACGGACCUAGAAAGCGACAUUCCAAUAAAAAUUAGUUUGACAUAGACAUGAGCAACCAAUAGAUGCUGAGGUGAUAUUGUAUGUAUCUCUAAGAGGGGUACUUACACCAUCAUAUACGAACUCGGUGCUUUUAUCCUUUUCCCAUGCUACUGCUUUUGAAGUCAAUUUGUCUGUCAUUGCUAUGGACAUGCAAAAGAAAAUUAAAAGACAUUCCGAACUAAUACAGAAACAUGUUAUCUGCAAACAUAAAACAUAAAGAAAAAGACAUUCUGAUAAAGAAAAGCAAAGCAGUGUUAGUAAUAAUAUCAUUGAGCAAUGGUGAUAUUAACCAAGACAAUAAAUACAACUUACAAUUAAGGUCUAAAAGUACCUGGAAUUUUGUUCACCAAGAUACGGGCUUUCUCUGCUCGCUUAAGAUUUAGAUGAGUACCUCUACCAGCAUUGUAACGGUUUUCAUCCUAGAAGAAACAAAUGUACAACAACAUUAGUAACCUGUGCGAUGAUAAAUAUGGCCUAUGGGAGUUGGGAUCCAUUUACGUUGUUCAAUAACAUAAACAUUGAAUUUCACCACCAAUCCAACCGUACAAAUACACCAUACAUUGUUUGUUAAUGAUAAGCAUCAAAACUUGAUGCAAUUUACUGAAACAAAGAUAUGAAAGAACAAUAAGAAGAAGAAAGAAAAAACUAACUCUGCUAUACUCCUCCAGCCAAGACUCUUCGUCACAUGCCGAUAACCACUUCUCAACAUUUUCAAGUAUUUCUAUUCUGCUAAAAGCUUCCUCUUUGACUUGGGAAAUCUGACGCUCAAUUUGUUCAAGCACAUAAGCAGGGUCUACAGAUCCUGCAUGAGAAAAGAAGAUGCAGGUUUAGGAGUUUAAAGAAGAAAGAAAGAAUGGCACUCAUCCAGUGGUAUCGCUCUUGGACAUUACCAGACUCAAUAGCCUUUUCGAUCGCAGCAUCAGAUUCUUGAACCAAAUGAGUCUUUCUACAAAUCUCCUCUAGCUCGGCUCUUUUUUUCCAAACAAGCUCUUUCAUUUUGCUUGAUUUUAAGUCCUCUAAUCUAGAUACUUCUGCCUCCACCUGCAUGAAAUUGUUACUUCUCAAGGAAUUUUCAACAACAUAAACAAUGAAAAUCGCUCAUUUUUUCUACAGUAGCUUAUAACUCACAUGAUUAAUGAACUCUUCAGACAAGGUGUUUGGUUCAGUUACUUCAUGUUCUGAAGCUGCGAUGUUACAUGUAACAUUCUGAAACACCUGUUGUUCUUCAAUCGGCGUAUCCAUCAAAUUCCAGAGCUCCAAUAAUGAUGUUGCUAGAUCUUGAAGCUGCCAGAUCAUAAUCAAUUUAUAAGUUUCAACCUGAGAAAACAAAAAUCAUGAAACGAAAUUAUAAAACGAAGUUAUGUUCCAUACCUUUUGCAUUCUCUGCAAUUUCACUCCUCUCAGUUCUUGUAUAGAUAAAGCCAAUUGGCUUAUGGUAUCGUUAUUUACACUCCUGGAUCCUUCCGAAUUUCCUAAACUAGGAUGGACUUCGCUAACUGUCUGCUUAAAGUCUAAACCAAGUACUGAACAGAGAGAACUUAAAGUGUGCAGAUUGUCUUGGACCUUCUUGAGACGAUCACUCUGCAUUAUUAAAAAUAAAAUAUCAUCACUCGGUAAUAAACAGCAAUAAAUAUGAUAUUUUGGGUUCAUAGAACAAUAAUACACACGCACAGAGAAAAAAGAAGAGAGAGUGGGAGAGGCAAGGAAUUAACCUUCUCCUUUUGAAGUGUAUGAAGUUGUCUGUGCAAUUCUUCAAGUUUCCUCAAUGACAAAUCGGUUUCAUCUACAACGAGUGGGACGUUUUCACUUGGACCAGAAAUCUCGUUUGAUAUACUGUGAAUCUGCUCUUGAACUUCUUUGAAUUGAUUUCUACGCUCAUACUUUCGUUUUUGCAUUUCCUCCAACUCCGGGAGAAUCAUUGCUAGCUCUUCCUUCAAGCUUCUAGCCUUUUGACCAGACUAUAAAAAUGAGAGACAUGAAUGAACAAAUAAUCUCGAUUGCAUAAUUCGACAGUAACAACGAACAGAACUAUAAACUUUGACAAAUUUGUGUAUAAGCUUCUAAUAAUGCUAGGAAUAUUAUAUCAUCAUUCCAAAUUAUUGUCACACAAAUAUGACAUUAAACACUGUUGUAUUAAACUUAAACUAUUUUCUCCGUCGAGCAGUAUAUAGAUACAUACAUGCCGUAAAACAGUAAUCAAGAAACUAGUAAUACAUAAAAUGUCGAACCUGUCUACUAUGUACAGGUCGCUCUCCCAUUUCUGAACAGAUAGCUGUAAGUUCUGCCUCGGAAUCAGCAAUUUCUUGCCUAAGUUGAGCUCUAGAGCAAUUUGCUUUAUCUACCUUUCUUCUGUAUACUUCUAGACACUCUUGUUCAAGCUCAUACAACAUCCUAUCUUUUUCAGACUCAGACUCACCAACUUCAUGCCAUAUUAUCUAGUUUUGAAAAAUAAACGAAGACAAACGAUAAGAAUUUCUCCGAAGUUUACCAGAUAUUCAUUGAAAUUGCAGAGAAAGUUGGUUUGUACCUGAAGUUCUUGAAGAAGUGAUCCACAUGUUGUUUCAGCUUGCGGAAGAGGAUGAUCAUUAUGAGGUUUAUGCAUUUUGGAGCACCUUUAUCAACUUAAAAAUAAAAUUCUUUUAGAACAUUCCUCGUUAAAACAAUCAAAGAAAGUGAAUAGAACUUGAUGCAUCUCAUAUAUAGUAAUAACUCAAUCAAAGGACCAUUUUUUGUUGAAGUAAAAAAUCGAUAGAAUUAAAGCAUUCGACUAAACAAAGACACAGUACUCACAAGCAAAAACCAACUCCAACAAAAACAAUUCAUUCAAAAUUCAACAUAACUCCUAGUUAAGGUGAGUUGGUCCUGAUAGCGCAUCAGGGUGACAGAAAAGCUCCGAGAUUCAAAGAACACUUACAAAAGAAUUUAUAUAUUUCACAGCAACAAAGUCCUCACAAGUCAAAACGGAAUUGAGAUUAAAACCCAUAUCCUUGUGAGAUAUUAACCAAACCUUUUCCAACAAGACCAACCUUUGUUUGUUGAAAUUUGAAAUUUGUAAUGAUCUAUGAAGCACUGACAUAGACAUCGACACCUGACAUGAUACUAACACCGGUAAAAAAAAUUAAUUAUUUCAAUGAACGUGAUCACAUGUGUCGCGUUGGGGUGUCUGGACAUGCCUUCCACUAAAAGUGUCGGUGCUACCUAAUAACCGGUGCAAGACCAUUUUUCCUAAUCCAAUGAAAAAACUAAUAAAAAUAACCAAACUCAGAGAAAAUUAAAAUUAAACCCAAAAAUUCAUUCAUUCAUAACUAAGCAUCAUCAAAAUUUCACACGUUUCAAAACAAUGUAAAAAGAAAAUUAAAAAAAAAACUGUAGCCAAAUGCAUGCAGAAUAUGAACAUAAACAACAAGAAACCUAAACACAAACAAAAUGAAGAACACAGAAACUACAUUAUGAAUAUAUAUGCUAAAUUUACGACGAUAUUCUUUCUUUUUCUUCUAUGAACGAAUGCUUUGAACCUGAAAUAGAAACUUUUGUGUAACAGUUUUUGGUUACAUUGGUCAUAAACGAAAAAAGAAGAAAAGAUGAGAAUGUUACCAAGUUUAGUGAUGAAAAAGGAAUUGAAUGGCUUUCUUUUUUCUCAAGAAAAUGAAAAUGGGGUUUUCCAGGAAAAUGCAGGUUUGUGAAUUUGAGAGAGAGAGAGAGAGAGAGAGAGAGAGAGAAAGUUUCUUUGUUUGGACGGAAGAGAGAAGAGAGGGAGACGUUUUAAGAAAUGGAAUGCAAACCGUUGAAGAACUCUUGAAAAGCACUAUGGGUUUUUGGAUAGUUUUUUUAUAUUUAGGGGAUUUUUAUUUUGAUUUUUUUAGAUAAUAUUUCAAGGUAUUACAUGUAUCUAAAGAUUCUAAAGUGUUUUUUGCCGGCUUGUAUCUAAAAAGUUUUCAUGUUAAAAUUAAUAAACAUGAUAAUACCGGUUGGUAUAUUUAUCACACAUAAAAAAAACCAGUUAAUUUGGAAAUUAAUUAAUACUACAUAAAAUAAUUAAAGCAAAAAUAAUCAAGGAUGGUGGGACCCACUUAAUGGUAGAAUCCGCUAUCCAUCUUAUGUGUCUAUCUCUCUCUCCGAAUUGUGUACUUUCAUUCAAUUUAUCAAAUGGAGAGGAAUAUGCUAACCCUUUUUUAUCAUGUGCAAAUUUGCACAUGUUAACAAGUUUAACAUAGUAACUUUCUUUUGGAACUUGUACAUUUUAUAUUAAAUACAUAACUUUUUAAUAAAUAAUUUGUUAUGAAUAUACUCCCUCCGUUUUAAAAUGAGUGUCGUUUUAGGUGUUGGGACACAUAUUAAGAAAUGGAAUGAAAUAAUCAUUAGAUAUAACAUUUUUACUGAAUUGCCCUUUACUUUAUAAGAAAAAAACAAAUUUAAAGUUGCAUUGAAAAUUGUGAGAGAAAGGUUGGAGUAUAUAUUGAGGGUAAAGUUGGAAGAAAAAAAUGAAAGUUGCAUUGAAAAUGUAAAGUAACAUUCAUUUUGAAACAGUUUUUUUUUGCUAAAGUGACACUCAUUUUGAAACAGAGGGAGUAUCUCUUAGGGAGUAUCUAUAGUCCUGGAAACAAUCUUAUUGGUUUUGUAACGAAGAGUAUAAGGUUUUGUCACCUGUCCAACAAUUUCUCCAUUAGGGAGGAUUUAUUUGCCCAAUCACUUAUUUAUUCAGGAGAAAUUGAUCCAACUCGAAGGUGUUGAUCUUUAUACUGAUCAAUCAUAGAAUAAAAUUUCUGAUUCAGUCCAAUUAAACUUCCUUCCUUUGAAUUUGGAAGUCUUUCUCAGAUACAAGGAAAUGAUUCAGUUCAAAGAUUGUAGUUCUCGAACGAGCAAUCAAAAAGAUUCUGGAGCAUCCACAAGUUUAGGUAUUGUUCCUCCAAUAAUCGUAGUUCUGAGUACUUCUUGACGCACUUUAAAAUAUGAUCAGAUUUAUAAGUCAACAUCUCUUGUAAAAUAUGAGCAACACCAAACCCCUCGAGCGCCCAAACCUCCAUUUUGCCUACCAGUUGUCCUCCUUGUUUCACCCUUCCUUUAAGGGGUUGUUGUGUAACAAGUGCAUAAUGUCCACUGAAACGUCCAUGUAUUUUAUCAUCAACUUGAUGAAUCCACAACACAAUUAUUUUCAGUCCAUUCUCUUUCAAUUAUGAAAACCACUAACAACACAUAAAAGCAUGAGCAUAAAAAAAUUUAAUUGAACUCUCGUUGAAAAUGAACGAACCUUAAAGAUUAUCAAAAUACUCCACAAAAUAAACCUAUAGAGAUUGUUUAAAAUAUAAUUUUUUAGCGUUAGAAUGUAUGUGUUCAUUUGCGAUACAUUUAGAUUUUCUAAUAUCAAUGUUUAUAGUUUCUUUGUGAUUCACACUUAUUUAUUGGUUUAUCUUUAUUCUCUAUUGAAAAUAAAAUUUUAAAUGAAAUCACUUAUGAUAAUUUUAUAAACAAUUUUGCAUCUCAAAAACAUGAAAAAUAUAAAUUACAUAAAAAAAUAAAAAAAUAAAAUUUUAAAAAGACUCAUUAUUAGAGUUUGUUUCAGGCCUUAAUAUUGGUUGAGACGACCUUGAAUAUGAUUAAUUUAAAACUUUUUUAUUUUUAUUUUUUUAACUAUAUGAAACAUCGUUUAGAUGGAGACAAAAUCAGAUAGAAUAAAAACAAAUAAAUAUACUUUAGUUUUCCAAAUUUGUUGAAUCUUAUUCUCCCUUUUUGUGUAAAAAUAACACAAAAAAGUAUGAUUGCAGUUAUAGAGGAAAAAUAAGUGGGAUAUACUUUAGUUCUUACCUCCUCUUCAAUACAAAAUAUCUUUUUUAUGUUGACUUAGAUGUAAAAAAAUGUGUCUAUAACAACAUAAUAAUUUCGCAAAUGUUCUCUUUUUGAAGUGUUGAAUUAAAUUUUAUUCUUUUUUAUGUGGCAGCCAAUUAGAAAAAAGUGACAUGAUCCCUCACAGAAAAAGGGACAAACUAGUUCUUCUAUUGACAUGUGUAACGUUUUAAUCUAACAUGUCCAUUCAAGCAACUACUUUAGUCCCUAUCAAACAUUGAAAAAAGAAGGAAAAAAAAAAGACAUGUUCGAUCCUUCACAAAUACUGUAAAAACAUGUUUGGCCCCUAACAUGAAGAAUGGAGCAUCAACAUCACAAGACCUACGACAUAAGAUUUUUAGAGUUAUAUGUUAUGAUUGUUGGGCAUUGUUGAAACUAAAAAUUGUAAUUUGUGAGAUAUAUUACCCAUGAUAAAUAUUACGACGAUUACAAAUUACGAUUUUUAUUACCUAAAGUUCAACCAUGAGGUAACUACAACUUAACCAAAAAUUAUUCCACAAGAAUCGAACUUAGGAUCGGCCGAAAUGUCUAUAUAGAGUUGAAUCUUGUAAUCUAGACUAUGAAAAACAUCAUCAUAAUGCUCCUGUUACAAUAAUAGUUUGGCUUAAACUAUAUCAGGAGGAUGCGAUAUAUUCGCGUACUACAUAAUCCGGUAAUUAUGAUUUACGAUCUCUUUAGCACAAUUUUUUCUAAGAAAACAAACAAACACACACCACAGUUUUGGAGAUUCUGCGUUCCCAUCGAUUAGAAUGUUGGCAUUCCAAUUUCAAAACACAGGCUUCAAAAUCUCAAUGCAUCUUACAUAUGAGUGUAGAGAUGCUUGCAUACCAACAAUCCAUUAAUCUUCCAUCUUCAUUACUGCAAGAACUGUUAGAAGCAUGUUUACAAAUUAUCAGCUACCAGAAAAAUCCAUGCUUAUAAUCAGAGGAGAAAAUUGAACACCAAAAAUAACAAUACCAAGUUUCUAUUAAAGUAUGUUUAUCAUCAUAAAAAUAAAAAUCUCUGAGAAUGAUAAACUUUUAUCACAUGCUAUGCAUGGUGAUUUAAUGACUUAAGCCUAAUCGGAUUAAAUUCCAGCUUAUGGGAGUUUCUCAUUAAAUGUUUAUGCUUAUUUACUUACAAUUUCGAAUAAGUCCGUUUAAGUACUUACAAUUUCGAACAAGUCCGUUUAAGGUUAGAUAUGUUUUUGGAGAAGCUAAAUGAAAAAGUUUCCGAAAAAAUUCAGAUGUAGAAGUUAAUUUCAACUCAUAUGAUAAGCUAUUGUUCAAAAUGUCAUGGCUAUUUUAAUAUUCUUUCAAUAGUACACAAUUCAAGGCUAUAUAUAUAUAUUUAAAAACUGAUAUGAGUUUAUAUUGGACAAACAAAUCUUCAGAAUCAUGAACAGAUUUCACCUGAUUAGGCAUGCAGAAGAUCUUGAAAAUUGAGGAAUGUGCUAACCAUAGUUCUAAAUUCUGAUCUACAACUAUAACUGAGGCUGCAACAUAAAUUAUUUUUUAGAGGUGUCUGUAACGGCAUCACAACCAAAAUUGCAUCCGCAUUUUUCAGCAGGGGACCACAAUUUAGAACCAUGGAGCUGACAACUUAUCAUACGAAUCUUUUAAAACUAAUUAAAUGCUCUAUAAUAUGGUUCUAUCAGAAGGUAAAUUGACUAGUCUACCCUUCCUCAGACAGGUGCGUUGAUGCAUAAGUCGCCCUCUUGAGCUUAGAAGAUGAAUGCAGCUUGGCUGUUAAGGAAAAAAAAUCUCAUGAUGUGUUAUCACUAUCGUAUUCUCUCUUAAUGAUUUCAAAUACAAUCUCAUUCCAAGCAUCUACAGGUCCCGGCAUGCACCAGUGCAAGCAAUCCUGUGGUGGUGGCCUUCCAUUUCGGCCUCGUUUCGUAAUUUUGUUAGGAUCAGUACUCCUAUAUGGACCAGGAUGACCAUCAUGCCGGUAUUGAAACGCUUCAGUAAUAUCCAUCAAUACCAUCUUCGAUCUAUCUGUCUCCUUUUUUGCCGCACGGUUAAAACCUGUAACCUGUUGCUCAUACAUCGAAGCGAGAUACUUAUUUUCCACCAAUUCACCGGGUGCAAGAGGUUUAACUUUCCCAGUGCAUGAUCCACCGGUAUUCCAUCCUCCACCCUCAUAAUGAUCGGGCGAAUAGGAACGCAAAAUUGUAAGUCCGGUAUAAUUUGGAUGCUUAACAAGAGCAGUAAGAAUUGUUUCAACAGAUAUACCAAAUGCUUCGACGCUGUUGAUCUUCGCACGCCGAGACUUGUCCGGCCACCACAAUUGUCCUCCAACUAUCUCAUUGUUCAAGAUGUAUACUGAUUGUUUAGUAAACCAAUGACCAGAUGAAAGAACAACCACAUCAAAUGUUGGGAGAAAUUCCAUGAACAUCUCAUCAGGGGAUUCGAGAUAGAUUUUCUCCACACCAGCUGGAGCAAAGUCGAAUGGUUCUGAAUUGUGUUUGACAAGCCAUGAUGACCAUAUCCGAACAAUCGUUACAGAUGUUGACUCAAAAUAAUACCGUUGCAUCUUGCGAGUUCCCUGAUUUUUUGGUUCCUCUACCUGAAAUAUCGUUAGCAAUUAAGUAUUUAAUUUCUACGAAGCACCGCCAUGAACACCAGAUACUAGACACGACACUGACACCGACACGUAUGGGACCAUUCUAUUACUUAUGCAAAUAAAAUUAGUAUGGAAUAAAAAUAACCUGCCAAAGAAUACACAUCAUGGACUCCAUCUGGUUUCGAGCCACAGAAUCUCCAAUGAAAGCCAACGUCUUGCCUCUCAUAAGAUCCAAAAACUUCCUCGGAUCAAAUCGCGGGAUGUCACACUGAAAAGGCUUCCAUCGCCAGUUCUCAUAAUCCUUAUCAGGCCUCCCAUUACCCUGACAAUUCUGCGUCUGUGUCAAUACAGGGCACGACUUGUUUGUGUAUAACGGUCCCGAUGAAUCAUAUAUCCAAUUUCCAUGGUACAGAUCACAACCUACUUGACAAUAAAAACAACCAUUCAUAAAACUGAGAAGAUAUAAAAACUUGGAGAGUGAUUACAAGAAAAUGAAUGGAAAGAAUUGUCCAUUGUUGAAAUUCUUACUUAACAGAUACAAACACUAACGAUUACGGCUGUAUUGUAUUUCCAAAAUAGAACAAAGCAAAUCAAAGUAUCAAACUAACAUUACCUUUCAUAAUUGAGGAAUUGGUACUAGCCAUUGGAAUAGGUUCUUUUGGAGCCGAAUCAGAAGUUUCUAACGCACUCGCCUCCUUAGUUACUGGAACAAUUUUUGGCGAAGCAGAUUCACUCAAGGGUAGUUGUGAAUUUGAAUUGGUAUCAAUUUGUUCUAUCUUGCUACUAUUAUCACUUAACACACCACUGGAAACUAUGGAAGGUUGCAGAUCAAUGACUGUUUUAUUAUCUACUAAAUCUAAACUUGAAUUCUUGUGAAGAUCAACAGAAGUUGUAUUGAUUUUCUGAGAGACUGAUAAACCAGAAGUUUGUGAACUCUCUACACCAUUGAAAUAACCAUGAACAGUUGAACCAAUAGGGUAUGAUAGAAAAAACCAUGAAGCAAAAGUUAUGAAUACUGCUACUACUCCAAUUGAAAAUAUAAUCCGCGAAAGUGGUUUCAGAUUUGAAGAACCAUUCGGAGAUGCAACCCUCCAAAUCACACCUUUCAUUUAACCCUAUUAGUUUCAAAUUUCACACUAAACUAAACCCUGAAGAACAUGAAAACUUUCUAAAAUAUAGAAACAAUCCACUCCACAGCUUUAUACAAUAUAAGCUUGCAACAUAUGUAGCACUGACACUUCAAAUCGAAGGUGUGUCCAACUCUGUCAGUGUCUGACACAAACACGAUACUAUCACAUGUAGUAUCUUCUGAGUUCUGAAUACUUACAAUCACUUUUAUUUCUCAAAUUAUUGCCAGCGUCCCUGUCGUAUCUGGUGUUUGUGUGCUUGAUAAGCUUGAAACAAUGAAUAGUUCAGUUGUACCAAUAUCAAAUUACAAUCAAUCACCAUAUACAAACCUGCAAUACCCACCAAAAUAGAUAAAACAAUUAAUCAAAGGGUGAAUGAAUAUGAUGGAUAAACUAUAUGAACAAUAAAGCAAAAAGACUCAUACUUGAACUUUGAAACAAAAUUAAAAACUCAUAAGGAAACAAAAUUAAAAAAUCAUAAAGAAACAAAAUUUAGCUUCAAGGUUAAAACCCCAUUAGGAAAAAACACUUUUUUCAAAUAAAAUCGAAAUACCCAGAAAGAAAGAAAAAAAGAAAAAAAAAAGUAAUAUUAACUUGUGUAACCCUGACACUUCAGAUCAAAGACAUAUUCAACACGUGUCAGUGUCCUUGUCGCAUCCCUAUCAUAUCAAUGAUUCAUAUCUUGAAACAAAGUAAUUGAGUUGUAACAUAUCAUAUUACCAUCAAUCACUAAAUACAGUUCUGCUAUAUCUACCAAAACAGAUAAAACAAAUAAUCAAAAAGUGAGUGAAAAUGACCCUAAAUUAUAUGAUAUCAACAUCUCAAAUAUAUCAGAGAAAUUCACAGAUCAUAAGUUACAAAAAAAAUUUGAGAGAAAGUUACAAAAUUUAGCUUCAAGAUUCAAACCCCACCAGGAAAAAACAAUUUUUUCAAACAAAUAUUUAACCAAUUUGGGUCAUUCAAUGAAUUCAUCAAUUAACAUAAUAUUUAAAAGAAAAUAAAAUAAAAUAAACCACCUAGAUGUUGACAAGCUCUGACUAGAAAGGGUCUUCAUUUUUAGUGUCAAAUGAGUAUCAAAUGCAAAUACUCAUGUUCGAGUCAGAUAUGUAACUGACUGAGCACAACCGUAAAUACUAAUCUCUCGAGUCAGACAAGACUGUAAUGACGGCAAAGCUCUACCUCGUGACAGUGUACUAAGCUUUCAAGAAAGUGAAUGUGUAUACAGACUUUAAGAAGUAUCAAUGAGGAAUUUGAAUGAAAUUUAUGAUGCAUCAUGUGGCAGGGAGCAAGAUUUGUUAUACAGUAACUCUCACUGACACACUCUUCAAUUAUACAUUCUUUAUUCUUCUUUCUUCACUCAGCAGAAAUGUGCACGUGAGAGAGUGUGUGGGUGAAGUUAUUACUGGGGUUCAUUGAAAUAGUUUUUAGUCAAAUUUAAACUAUCUUCGAACCGAACUCUGAAUUACUGGGGUCUAUUUUCCUAAAUACUAAAGUGUUUAUACCAUAAAAUACAACUAGACUAAAUAAUUGUUGCAAUAUGAAAAAUAAGUUUAAGUACACUUUUGUUCCAUUAUAAAACAUAUAUGUUGGUCCUCAAUUUUAAAAACUGACAUUUGAUCCCCCAAUGUAAUUUUUUGUGUUUUGGUCCCUUGUAUCAUUUUGGAUCAUUUUUAUCAUGUGAUAUGUUCAUUUAGGCAAAAUUACUCCAAUGAUUUCCUAUCUUAUUUAAGUUGGUCCUCCAUAAAAACUGACAUUUGAUCCCCCAAUGUAACCUUUUUUUUUUGUUUUGGUCCCUUGUAUCAUUUUGGGUCAAUUUUAUCAUGUGAUAUGUUCAUUUAGACAAGAUUACUCUAAUGAUUUCCUAUCUUAUUUAAGUUAGUCCUCGAUUUUAAAAACUGACAUUUGAUCCCCAAUGAAACUUUUUUUUUGUUUUGGUCCCUUGUAUCAUUUUGAGCCAUUUUUAUCAUGUGAUAUGUUUAUUUAGGCAAGAUUACUCCAAUGAUUUCCUAUCUUAAUUAAGUUGGUCCUCGAUUUUAAAAACUGACAUUUGAUCCCCCAAUGUAACCUUUUUUUUUUUGUUUUGGUCCCUUGUGUCAUUUUGGGUCAUUUUUAUCAUGUGAUAUGUUCAUUUAGGCAAGAUUACUCCAAUGAUUUCCUAUCUUAUUUAAGUUGGUCCUCCAUUUUAAAAACUGACAUUUGAUCCCCCAAUGUAACCUUUUUUUUUUUGUUUUGGUCCCUUGUAUCAUUUUGGGUCAUUUUUAUCAUGUGAUAUGUUCAUUUAGGCAAGAUUACUCCAAUGAUUUCCUAUCUUAUUUAAGUUGGUCCUCCAUUUUAAAAACUGACAUUUGAUCCCCCAAUGUAACCUUUUUUUUUUUGUUUUGGUCCCUUGUAUCAUUUUGGGUCAUUUUUAUCAUGUGAUAUGUUCAUUUAGGCAAGAUUACUCCAAUGAUUUCCUAUCUUAUUUAAGUUGGUCCUCCAUUUUAAAAACUGACAUUUGAUCCCCCAAUGUAACCUUUUUUUUUUUGUUUUGGUCCCUUGUAUCAUUUUGGGUCAUUUUUAUCAUGUGAUAUGUUCAUUUAGGCAAGAUUACUCCAAUGAUUUCCUAUCUUAUUUAAGUUGGUCCUCCAUUUUAAAAACUGACAUUUGAUCCCCCAAUGUAACCUUUUUUUUUUUGUUUUGGUCCCUUGUAUCAUUUUGGGUCAUUUUUAUCAUGUGAUAUGUUCAUUUAGGCAAGAUUACUCCAAUGAUUUCCUAUCUUAUUUAAGUUGGUCCUCCAUUUUAAAAACUGACAUUUGAUCCCCCAAUGUAACCUUUUUUUUUUUGUUUUGGUCCCUUGUAUCAUUUUGGGUCAUUUUUAUCAUGUGAUAUGUUCAUUUAGGCAAGAUUACUCCAAUGAUUUCCUAUCUUAUUUAAGUUGGUCCUCCAUUUUAAAAACUGACAUUUGAUCCCCCAAUGUAACCUUUUUUUUUUUGUUUUGGUCCCUUGUAUCAUUUUGGGUCAUUUUUAUCAUGUGAUAUGUUCAUUUAGGCAAGAUUACUCCAAUGAUUUCCUAUCUUAUUUAAGUUGGUCCUCCAUUUUAAAAACUGACAUUUGAUCCCCCAAUGUAACCUUUUUUUUUUUGUUUUGGUCCCUUGUAUCAUUUUGGGUCAUUUUUAUCAUGUGAUAUGUUCAUUUAGGCAAGAUUACUCCAAUGAUUUCCUAUCUUAUUUAAGUUGGUCCUCCAUUUUAAAAACUGACAUUUGAUCCUCCAAUGUAACCUUUUUUUUUUGUUUUGGUCCCUUGUAUCAUUUUGGGUCAUUUUUAUCAUGUGAUAUGUUCAUUUAGGCAAGAUUACUCCAAUGAUUUCCUAUCUUAUUUAAGUUGGUCCUCCAUUUUAAAAACUGACAUUUGAUCCUCCAAUGUAACCUUUUUUUUUUGUUUUGGUCCCUUGUAUCAUUUUGGGUCAUUUUUAUCAUGUGAUAUGUUCAUUUAGGCAAGAUUACUCCAAUGAUUUCCUAUCUUAUUUAAUUGUAUCAUAUCCAUCUUUUAUCUUCUUUUUUUAACAUAGGUCCUUUAUCUUUAUAAAAGCACACAAGUUUUUUUUUAAACAACAUAAAAGCACACGAAUUAAUUUUUUUCUUACAAUUUUUAUUUAAAAAAAAAUUGAUGAGGUGUCAAUCCACGUAGGAUAAUUUACUUUUUAAAAUGUCAAAUGCACCUUUAGCCCUUUAACUUUGAAAAAUUACAAUUUACCCCUCCCAGAAAAAUAGUUGUUUUGACCCCUUAACUUUACAAACGUUGCAAAAUGCAAAAAAUAGUAAUUUAACUCUCUAUCUUAUAAAAAAUAAAAAACACUUUUGGCCCCUAGUUUUAUAAAAAUAAAAAUAAAAAAGUAAUUUUGUCCCCUGUUUUGAAACACGUGGUGUAUUCUUAGUAGUCUUGUGACAUUUUGUAAAUUGUCCGGGGGGAUAAAAUCACAAUUUUUUAAAAGUUAAGGGGUCAAAAGUGCACUGAAUACUUUUUUUAAUAUUAAAAAGCUUGAAUGCACUUUUGAUCCCUCUAUUUUAAUUGCACGAUAUGAGUAGUUAUUUGAUUGUAGGAAAAUAACAAAGGUUCAUUUAAAUGUUUCGAGGCAAUUCGAAUCCUUUCUAUGUUUUUUCUUGGAUUACCACAAGUUCAAUAUUGAUUAUGACCUAAGAACUGUAUAAUCGAUGGCUUUUAUUAUCAAUUCGUCAUGUACCUAUAGAGUUUCAUAUAGUAAUCGUGCCUAAACGAGGUGGACUUAAGCAAGUUUGAAAAGGAUGAAUAGUAAUCUAACUAUCAUACUUUAAAUCCCUAAUUAAUUAAAUACGAAUAUGAAAAGUUCAUAUUGCUCUUCUUCGGGUUAAGGCAAGGCUGUCAUUCUUACAACUUAACCUAGAGCGCAUACAUAGAUAUCUAGGGUUGUUAGACCUAAGGUUUAAAAGCAUUAUAAUGAUCGAAACAAUUGAAAGUUAAAUAAGACUUAGAUUAUAACUGAAUAUAGAAAUUGCAGUAAUUUGAUCCAAAAAAUAAAUAAUUGUUCAUCUUAGAACCCUAAUCAUAGAGUGCUUAGUAAAUCAUGGCAGCUGAAUACAAAAGCAAAGAAGAAAUACAAAACAUACUUGAAACAAAGAAAGGAUGGGACUCGUCUUGCUUCUCCUUGAUGCUUGCAUUCACUUUACACUGCUAGAUUUAUGAAUGAAUAAUAGUGUGUGAAAAGCUCUAUAUUUAUAGGAAUAAUUCAAUAUGGGUUCGCAUAAAAAUUAUGGGUUGUUUCCACUGAUCCAACUUGAAAAAUAAGUAAAAGGCAGAUUUUAUCCAGAGUGAUGCACUGGGACGUAUGACAGGCGCCUGCUUGGGUGCAUGGGGAAGGGAAAUACUUCUUUAUGACAGUGUCAUGCACCUGGGCGCAUGGCCUCGUCAGAUGUGCCGAAAAUGUCGUCUAUCUUCGUUCUUUGUGUGUUUUCCUUCCAUGUUAUGUUCUUAGGAGUUGGGACAUAAUUUUACCGCCUUUCAAUGUCUUCAAAAUAUUCUCAAGCUCCAUUGUUCUUUAUUAUCUUGCUUCCAUAACUCCAUGAGAUGUCAUGAUUUUUUUAGUUACAUGAUUUAUCAAUAAAAAGACUCAAAACACUUAUGAAGUUGUCGGUUUUGUGAAGAAAUAGAAUUACAAAGACUCAAAUGAAAACAAUACAAAAUGUCUCUUUAAACAUGAGAAACUCCUCUAAAAAAUCUCUAAAAUAACUUUAGCUACUAAAUAAAUAUUUGGAAAACAUAGCUAAAAUAUCAUCAGAUGAGUUGUCAACCACACACUUAAAUUGUUGCUUGUCCUCAGGUAACAAAAUGGCAAGAAGUUUUUUUUUUUUUUUUUUGACAAAAACAAAAUGAUAUUCAUUCAUUCAAAUCGAGAGAUUACAUCAUUCAACGCCGCUAAAAACGUAAAGGAUGAAUCUACGAACAAACUCACAACAUCCAAGUUAAUAGCAUAUAACGGCAUAAUGCCUACAAAAAUAUAUGAUAAAAUUUAAAGUGACCAGAAUAUCCAUGGCCUCCGGAUCUGCAACAUUGACGCCCAAAUCGUUGAUUGGAUUAUCGAUCUUUCAAUAUGAAUCAAAUGAACACCGCAAAAAGAUGGGAAAUCAAACAACGCCGCACAAGACGACGAACAACAAACCACCACACUUAGAUGAUGAAAUCAAAAAGAAAAAACCUAGAUCUAUGUGAAAAUCACUUAUUUAGAUUGAAAUAGAGAGAAAACGAUGAAGAUGGGUGAUUUCAGGUCAAGAAUUGACCCAAAACCACCCCUCAAUGAAGAAACUAGAAGAAAAAACCUAGAGAGAGAAAACUAGGGUCGGCUUGUUGGAUAGGGAGGAGAAGAGAAAGAAAAAAAAAAAGACAAAUACUUUAAUCGGCAAGAAGUUAGUAUUUGCUCAAAUUUUUAAAUGACAUAACUUUCUGGAAUGAAUUCUCAUAUUAUUAUUCGUUCCAUUUUUUACUUUAAUUUGUCCAACUUACCACUUUCUCUCAAGUGGGACAAAAACUUCAAGAAGAUAAUCAUAAAGUAAAAGUUGGUCUGCAUUGUAACCCUUUAAAUUUUUGUCUUCUUAUCAAUCUUAAUAAUCACAAGAAUAUAGAAAUAAUAUAAUCACAAGAAAUGAGGCUUUGAAUCGUGACCCUUAAAAAUUUUGGCUGCUUCUCAACCUUGAGAAGAUGUUCAGAACUGAUGACAUGAAGUAUGUAUCAAAAUGAAUUUGAUACAAGAACAAAUUGGAUGAUUGAACUUGCUUUUGAAUUAUCAAAUAAAGAAGUUCAGGGAUAGAGAAGAUGACACAAUGAAGUUAUAUUGCUUCAACCUAAGCCAGCUAGUCCAGUCCCCACAAUCUGUGAGAUUUCCUAAUAUAGUGCCUGAGAUGCCUUGUCAAAUUCGACACACUUUCUAUUCUUUUCUUUUCUACAUGACUUUACAAGUUUGGACAACUUCUUCAGACUCUAGCUACCACUAAAUCCACUUUUAUACUCUAAAGUGAAUUAGUGGAGCUUUACACUGAUUGCACAAUUGUUUUCUGAUCUUGAUCUAACAAUGAUCAAUUUGAUCUCACAUUGAUCUUUUUCUCUAAGUUCAACUUGAUCACCAAAAGGUGAAUAUGAACUUUUCUAUUUAAGUUCAAUAUGAUAAAAAAAGGAGAUCUUAAAUAAAUAUAUCCGAAAUCUACAAGCAACACCACUAAGGGAUAGAGAAAGGAGACUAACAAUAGAAAAUGAAUCAAUGAUGCGCUUAAUCUUGUCGCCCAACCACUUCCAAAGAUCCAAAGCAAAUUGGCAAUGAGGAAUAUGAUAUCUGAAGUCUCCACAUCGUCCAUGCAAAGAACUCAAAAGGAGACCACAAUGUAACCUAUAAAACGUAAAUUCUCGUCGUAGGCAUUUUGCCAUGCAUAGCCUCCAAAACACAAAACAAUGAGACAAAUCAAAAUCGAAGCGGCCCAAUCUACAGGCGCAUGCAAAGGAUGUAAAAACCGAAUAGUUCCUUAUUCUGUAACUAUUGAAUAUUUGUUAAAUAUACAUGUCAAUCAAUUUAAUCCAAAAAAAUAUCAAAAUUUUAUUAUUGUAACCAACUAUUUAUUUUUGUUUAAACCUAGUAUCCUUCGUGUACAACUAGGAAGACCAAUACCUCAAUCCUUGUGGAACUCAAAUGAUAAAAUAUAUUUUUCACUUUAAAUCAUUAAUCCUAUGGAUUAAUUUUAAUGUAAAUUAUUUCCUUUCAUUAUUUUAUCAAAUCUUCAAUGAUAUUUUUACCUAAAAAUAUUCAUUCAUUUUGCAUUUUCUAAAAUCAUAUUAUCAGUUGUUUUCCUUUCACUUAUUGAACUACAACAAUGAUAUAUUUUAAUAACUAUGUUUAUAGAGGAUUGCUUUUUUGCCCCCCCCCCCCCCCCCCAAUAUCUCUUUAGCCCCUUAAAAAUACAAAAUUAACCUUUAUAAUUAAAAAUCAGAGCCUUCGGUGCAUAAAAUCCAGUAGUUCAAUUUAAUUUUUCACAUUUUGCACCUCCGGAAUAUAACUACCGGAUACACAUUUUGGAAUUUCCACAUUUAACACAUACGGUAGUUAAAAAUAUAAGCCACUGAAUAAUUUCCACAUUUAACACACCGCGACAACCACAAUCUGUCACGCAACAUUUGUAACAGUCGAAAUCGUGAAAUCCUAUACAUGACUGUGGCUGUUAUUUAAAACCUUCGUCAUCAUAAAAUAGGUGACAAUAAGACAACCUCCCAUCCCUUCCAGCAGGUCCUAUCUCCUACAAUGCCCAUUCUAUUUAAUAAGAAAACAAUUGAAAGAACAUAUGGCAGUGCUACUAUUAGAAUUUAGAAGAAAUCAAAUACUUGUACAUACUCUUCCAGACUUCCGAGUAAACUAUAAUGGAUUACCUAAACACAAUUAUGACAAUUCCAAAAUGAAUUACUGUAACAUACAAGAUCAUUUAUAUUUCAUAGGGUGCGUGCAAACAGACCUUCAAUUGCAUGUAGAAUAUGUCACAUCGUACUAGAUAAAUUCAGUAACCUACUUAUCUAAACUGUAUAUUUAAACUAUAGUAUAAUUUACGAAUUUAAGAGAUUUAGAUACGACAAUCCAAUCUUGUGUUUGUUAAUUUUUAACUGAAAGUUAGAAAGGUAAAUGUUGAUUGAGCAAUUAUUCAGUGGCUUAUAAUUUUAACUACUGUAUGUGUUAAAUGUGGAAAUUCCAAAAUGUGCAUCUGGUAGUUACAUUCCGGAGGUGCAAAAUGUGGAAAAUUAAAUUGCACUACCGGAUUUUAUGUACCGAAGGUUCUAGUUUUUAAUUAUAAAGGUUAAUUUUGUAUUUUUAGGGGGCCUAAAGAGAUAUUGGAGGAGCCUAAAAAGCAAUCCUAUUUUGUUUAUAUGUACUUAUACAUAAGUCAAAUGAGGCUUGUGAUCACGUAAACCCAUUGUAUCCAAAUUAUAUAGGCCCAACCCAUUGUAACCCUAAAUUCAUAUAUUGUCUCUUGUCUCUCAUUCUAUAUAAACAUCGGCGCCUCCUCAUUUCUCCUUCAUCUUUUCUUAUAUUUAUAUAGAGUAUUUGUUCUUUAUUUCUCCAUGUUUUCUCCAUUUUAUUUGUUUUUUCUCACACUGUCACAGUUUUUUUUCCUGUUUCCAUGGAUUCACUAUUUACUAAUUAUUUUUGUAUAGUCAUAAUACCUCUUUAGGUCAAUCAAUGAUUUUGCUUAUGUGAUUCCUCCAAAUAACUAAAUUGUGUAAAUUCAAUCUAGUUUUAAUUUGAUCUAAUGAUGUCAACUCUUGUCUAAUAGAAUUCUCGAUCUGAUAGCAUGAUCAAUUUGCAUAUGUUCAUUGUGUGGUCAAAUUGGUUUGAAUAAUCGAUCUGGUCUAGGUUUUAUAACAUUGAAUAUAGGUGAAUGUGAUGAUUGCAACGAAGAUGUACUUAUAAUCAUAAUCAUAUAUAUCAAAAAAUAAAAUCAACGAAGUACUUAAGGUACGUCAAUACGAAUCCACGACCUGAUUUUUAUUUUUAUUUAUCAUACAUACCAAUAUGAAUAUCUUAAUUUAUCCUUAGUAUGGAUCAUUUAUGUUAGAAUAAUAUAUUUUUUUAUUCAUACUCGUUAUUAUCCUUAUUAAUGAAUAAUUUUGCUGCCAUUGUUUCUACAAGAGCAUGACCAUGUUGGCGAAACGACAAAAACAGAGGGAGGCCCGUUCGUCGUGAACAGAUAUUCGUGGAUCGAAGUGGAGCGAUGUGAGGGAUAUGUGGAGUGGUUCCCAUCUUUUGGAGAGAAUAGUUGUGGAGAAAGCAAGUUUUGUUUGGAGAAAGGAGAGUAUAUGAGACAAUAUCUCAUCAGGUAAGGUGAUGAUAAUAUUAAUGGUUGUUGAAGUCUCCAUUAUCGGUGAUUAUUUGCUAUGUAAAUGAAUUAUAUUUUAUUUUGGUCUAAGCAGAAUUGUUUUGGACAAUCAAAAAAAUUGUUUUGGACUGACUACUAGCUAGAUAAAUUACAACUUUUAAUUUCGGAAAAUCUAUAAUUUGGGCAUGUUUGCAAUUAAACUAGCUACUAGAGUAUAAGUAACAUUUUUAUUUUGACGACGUGUAUAUUAUAUUAUUUUUUUUUAGAUUAUAUCUUUUUUAAAAAAAAGAUAUAAUCUACACGUCAUAAAAAAAUUUACUUAUACUCUAACAACUAAUUAAGUUUAGCUACAAACUUCACAGAAAUACAAAUUGUCCGAAACAAAAAAAUGUACUUUAUCUAGCCGCCAAUCCAAAAUAUUUUUUUUUGUCAUUGGCCAAAACAAUUCCACGCAAACAAAAUCAAAAUCUAAUUCAUUUAUAUAUCAACUCAUCAUCGAUUAUGGAUUAUCAAUCACCUUUUAAUAUUAUUAGCAUGUUACCUGAUGAGGUGUUGUCUCAUAUUCUCUCUUUUCUCCCAACCAAACUUGCUUUCUCCGUAGCUAUUCUCUCCAAAAGAUGAGAACGGAUCACCAACAUCGACCAUGAAGACGAAUGGGUCUUCCACCACUUUUUUCAUUUUGUUGACACAAUCAUGGUCUAAUAGAAACAAUUUGUCUGCAAAGUUAUUCAUUACUAAGGAUAAGAAUUAACUAAGAAUAUAUUUUUAUCCCUUACUCAAUAUUAUUUAUUUGUUAUAUGUUUAGAUUCUUCUAGACGUGCCUUUAAAUUGAUGCAGGCAAAGAAAACAAUUGAGCUUUGUACUACAUCUUGAGCUUAUUCAAAUCAAUAUCGAGUUUUAAAAAAAUAGCCCACCCUAUGAAAGCCAUAUGAAAACAUGAGUUCAUACAUACUUGAUGAACACUUUAACAUAAAAUUAAAAUAUAUUUUAUGUACUUUAACUUUUAUUAUUAUUAUUAUUCUUAUUAUUAUUAUUAUUAUUAUUAUUAUUAUUAUUAUUAUUAUUAUUAUUAUUAUUAUUAUUAUUAUUAUUAUUUUUAUUAUUAUUAUUAUUACUAUUAUUGUUAUUAUAUUUUUUUUUUCAUUUUUAUUUAUGUCAUUGUAUGCCUAUCCCUUGAGACUUGAGAAAUAAGGAGAGGAAGAUCUUAUCCUAUUAUUAUUCAAGAAAGACAUUCAAGAGUAUCAAAUAGAGAUCAAGAAGAUGUAUUCAAGAGAUAAGUUUUCUCACCCUUUUUUUUAUCUUUAAAUUAUAUAUAAUGUAUUCAAGAGUAUCAACAAGAUGUAUUCAUGACAAAAUGCACUAUAUGAUUAUGAUUUUUCGCUCUUGCCAUGAUGUGCAAUUUAUUCUUUUUUUUUUUUUUGGUAGAUAAUGUGCAAUUUAUUCUAAUAUAUGACAUUAGCAUAUUUCAUUUAUUUCCUACAUGUGGUAUCAGAGCCAUAGGUCUGUGAUUUAGGAUCCAUUUAUUAUUUGAACAAAUUAUGUUAUGGUGAAAUUCAUGUAAUAGGACUUUCGUAUCCAUGCAUGGAUUUAGACGAUUUUGUUUAAAUUAUUUUAACACAUAUUGAAUGCUAUAUCAUGUUGAAAUUAUAAGAUUUUUAUGGGUCAGUGAAAAUGAUAAUAAGUAAUGAAUUCAUAAACUUAUUUUAAUUGAAGAAGUUUGCAUGUUAGUUUGAGACUUUGGAGUUUAUUUCUCCUCAAGGUAUAGGUUCGAUCAUCUCUAGUGUGUUAAUUUGGGUGGCCUAAUUUACUUUCUUAAAAAAUAAUAUAACUUUUGUACACAUUUUCACCUUGAGGUUCUUUAUAAUCCAUUGCUUUCAUGUGUUACUUGGGCAUAGAAAUGGGCAUAAUGUUUUCAAUCCCAUAAAUCACUUACAGCAAAGGGAAUUUUACAUCAAUUGUGUAUAGAAAGAUGAAUCAAGGUAUUUCUAGACCAGCUUCAAAAUUUUCCUAAUGCCACAUGUCCAAUCAAUUUAAUUUUCUUCAUCAUUUGACAUGUUUGCCAAUGGUUGGCGACUCGAUCGGUAGGAGUUUAAUAUAGUUUAAGUUCCCAUUAUUUCUCAAAAGCCAUAGCAUCUGAAUCAUUAACCGACAUAUGUUCUGUUUGAUAAAAAUAGCAUAUAGUUUUUAAGCUAGGCAUAUAGCUUAUAGCGGAUGACUGAUAGCUGAUAAGCUAAUUGACUGUUUGGUAAAAUUAGUGGUUUAACUAGUUGAUAAACGUAAAAUGACAUAAAAAGAUAUUCUUAACUCACUAAAAAAAAUUUCAACUAAUAAUUAAAAAUUUAGCAAUUUAAUUUUAUUGAUUUGAUAUAUCUUGUAUAUUAUUAUUAUUAUUAUUAUUAUUAUUAUUAUUAUUAUUAUUAUUAUUAUUAUUAUUAUUAUUAUUAUUAUUAUUAUUAUUAUUAUUAUUAAAUUAAUUGUAUUACCUAAAAAGUUAUUUUACUUUUAUUUUCAAUUUUCUGUAUCCAUAUUUUAUAAAUAAUUAAACGUAGCAAUAAAAUAUACUCAACACAUAAUAAUAAUCUUUGACAUAUAGUUUUUAAAAAUAAAUAAUAGUGAACUUUUUUUAAUACAAAAAUAAUUUAAAAUUUAUUAAUAAAUGGUUAUAUUAGUUUAAUUAUUAUUUUUGAAUAAUUAUCUUUUGAAGGGAAAAAAAUCGGUGAUAUUAAAAUUUAAAAGAGUCAAAUGAACUACAAUUAAUUUAUUAGUAAUAAUAAUAUACAAGAUAUAUCAAAUUAAUAAAAUUAAAUUGCUAAAUUUUAAAUAUUUAAAUAUCAAUUGAGAAAAAAUUUAGUGUGAAUUAAAACUGUUCUUUUAUGUCAUUUUCCAUUUAUCAGCUAGUUAAACCGCUAAUUUUAGCAAACAGUUCAAUUAGCUUAUCAACUAUCAGCCAUCCGCUAUAAGCUGAUUUAUCAUCUAUCUACUAUUUUUACCAAACUAAGCAUAUGCCUGUUGACGAUUCAGAUGUUAUGGCUUUUGAGAAAUAAUGGGAACUUAAACUAUCUUCGUCUUUAGGCUCUAUUUGGUUUAUCAAAGAAAGUUAAAGGAAAGAAAGUGAAAGGAUAGAUAGUAGAAGGAAAGAAUGGUUGAAGAAAGUGAGAUGAUUAUUUUAGUUGUUUGGUAUAAAAGAAAGUGAAUAGAUUGUGAGAGGAAAGAAAAAUAUAUAUUUGCAAAAUGACUAUUAUAACCUUAAAAUGUUCUAGCUAAAUGUGUUUAUUUUAAAUUGAAAUUAAUUAUGCUAUCCACACAUUUAAAUAUAUUUAAUCAAUAAUUUUUAAUUUACCUAUCAUUUGUUAAAUUUUUUGUUCAAAACAUCACACCAGGAUUGAUAAAAAAAAUAACAUCACGCUGAGUGCUAAACAAUUUAGAAGCAUGCUUGUUCAACAUAGUAAUACAAUUAUUAUAGCAAGGGUAUUAUUGACUUUUUCCUCUAAAAGUUGAUGCUUCUUCAACUUUCCGUCCAAAAUAGUGAGGAAAGGUUUUGGGUGUGGGUCCCACCUCAAAACUUUCUUUCCACAUCUUUUUGAAGUGUUGCCAAAGGGUGGAAAAUCAAUCUUUCCACACACUUUCUUACCUUCUUCUAUCUUUCCUUAGUUUUUCUUUAGAUCCAAACAAAGCCUUAAUGUUUUGGUAAAAAAAAAAAACCUUAUCAACAUUUUCAAGAUUUCUUAAAUAGAAUAUAAAAUCUAUUUAAUAAACAUCCUUCAAAGUCAUCAUUAAUUUUACAGCGGAAAAUUUGCAUCAAAACAACAACAGCAACUGUUUAAAUCUCCAUAAUUAAAUCUUGGCAUAAAAACCUUAUCAACAUAAAUUCAACAACCAUAGGACUACGUCAGCAAUAUUCAAAAAUUGAUAUAUAGGAAUGAAAAACAAUAAGAAAAUCCCAUCCCGUACGUAUCAGAGCCCUAAGACACUUGAGCCACCACUCCUACUAAUCUUUAUUACCUGCAAGUUACCCAUACGAAGGGCAACAUUUCCAAGCAGAAGGGGUGAGAUUUCACAAACAAUAAUAAUAAGCAUAUAAUUCAUCAAAUGCAUCUAACAACUUAAACUCCAUCAUAUCAACAGUCAUAACUCGAUAUCAUAAACAACAUCAUAACAGCAUCAUUAAUUCGUAUUAACAUUCUCCACCAAGCACCUCAUUAACAACUCAUGAAUAGAGGACAACUUAGCAACUAUACGUAACAUCAUCAUUUCAUAAUAAUAAUUAUUCAUCAAACAUUCCAUUAACAAUUCAUGAAUAAAAGACAACUUAUCAACUUAACAUAACCCUCAUCAAGUACAUUUAACAACUCAUGGGUAACCUCAUGUAAUAUCAUAACAACCCCACAUUCAACAUCAUAAAAGAUCAUCAUAACCUCGUCAUACUCAUCAACAUAAACAACGUAAGAGUACACCACCUCUUAUAACAGACAAUCAAAGUAAGAGUACACCACCUCUUAGAAAAACAAUAAAGUAAGAGUACACCACCUCUUAUAACAACGACAAGUAAGAGUACACCACCUCUUAGAAAGACAAUAAAGUAAGAGUACACCACCUCUUAUAACAACGACAAGUAAGAGUACACCACCUCUUAGAAAGACAAUAAAGUAAGAGUACACCACCUCUUAUAAAGACAACGAGUAAGAGUACACCACCUCUUAUAAAGACGACAAGUAAGAGUACACCACCUCUUAUAAAAGCGACAAGUAAGAGUACACCACCUCUUAUAAAGACGACACGUAAGAGUACACCACCUCUUAUAAAGACGACACGUAAGAGUACACCACCUCUUAUAGAAACAUCUAACAUGAUCAAUCAUCAACAACAGAUACAACUACAACUUCAACAACAACACCAACGAUGAUAACAACAUCGACAAUUUGCAUAAUUUACUUAUGACUCAUUCGGCAACGUACAACCCAGCACACUUACAAUUUAAACCAACAUUCACAUCUUAAUUAAGAUCCAACAGCAACACUAGUAGCACAUAGACAUCCCAAAAUAUGACAAUACCAAAUGAUAAUCAACACUACUUAAACAUCAUACAUUUUCCACAUAAGGCAUAUAGUUAUUUCACAUAACCAACAACAUUAAUCAUCUUAAUUUCAGACUCUCUGAAGAACAUUAAUAUUAUAAACAACUUCGUUUCUACCCCAAGGACCAACUCACAACUUAGGUUAAAUACUCUUAAACACCUUAAUUAAACCCCUAGUACUUCUAGUUUUGAGGUUUGGAAUUAUUCCCUAAGUUUUGGAUUAACUUAGAAACGGUUUUGCUGAAUUUUCAUAAAAUUUCACUAAGACCUCCUUGGAGUAUUUUCAUCAUAACUCCUAAACCAAAAAUCAUUUUCACGCCAAACUAGAGUCAUUGGAAAGCUAACAAAAUUAUCUACAACUUUCAUGUUUACACCAAAGGCCAAUUCAAAACAGAAACGUGUGAAAAAGACGCAAGAACGCGAAAUAGGGGAUGCUGUCAAAGUGCAGCUCGCGAGGCGAGUAAGUUUACUCGCUGUGGCGAGUUGCGACAGACAACUCUACGGGAACAGACCAGUUUCCAGCCAAAAACCCAAUUUUUCAUCCACCCAAACCCCAAAUUUGAUAGGAAACUUAACCUAUGAUUAUUCUACAACCUGAACAUCAAUUCUUAACACAAUUUCGAUGGUUUCUACACUUUUCAAUUCAAAAAUCAAUAAUCAAAACCUAAUCCCAAUUAUCCAACCUAAGAACAACAAAAUGUUAAAUCACAAAUUCAGAAUUUAUACACUAUGAUUACUGAAUGUUAGGUUUACCCCUACCUUAGAUCGAUGAACAAAGCUCUACAGAAUCUGAUUCUCCCCACUUGGCUCUUCUCUUGGUUUUUCUCCCAAAACUCUGUUGUACGUGAAAACUGUUUCUCUGACUGAUAGUUUCCAUUUUCUAAUAAUUCAGUAAAACAUAACCUCCCACUUAAUUUCUAUUAAUUAAAAUAAAACCCCCAAGACUCCAAUUAAUUCUAUUUCUCACAUUAUUCUAAAUUCCCACUUAUUCUAUUAAAUAGUAAAAUAACUCAUUUAAUAAAAUAUAACACACCGCAUAAUCAACAUAAUUAUAUAAAAUCAUAUAUAUAAAAAGACUUUAAAUCAACCAAUAAUAAUUAAAUAAAAUUGGGGCGUUACAAGGGGGACCAAAAUAGCCGAUUUGUUAAAAGAGGGAGACUAAAAUUGCACUUAAGCCUAACUAUUAAUACAGAUAAAAAAUUGAUUUUGGUGUAGCCUUUUUCCAUUUCAAAACUACCAUUCACCCAUAUGACACAACUAAAAGUAACUUCCAGUCAAAAUAGACAAUUUAGCAGGUUUGUUUAAAUUUACAACCUCUUGUUUAAAAAAGAGUAAGGUUAAUCAUUAUCGUUCUUUUUUUUCUUCUUCAUUACGGAAAAGGGCAACCCAUCUUCUUGAUUGUUUAUUUAUGUACUAAUGUUUAUGUUCUUUCUCUUUGAUAGGAUUAGUGCAUGGUCUGUAAAAAAAAAAAGGAAUAAUGCAUGGUUUGUCAAAAUUGAAAGAGAGGUAACUGCUACAUAUGGUGAUGAGUGAAGAUAUUUGAUGAUCAUAAAAUAAUUCUACUGCUAAUUCUUCUUGGUCUUUUAGAAAUGGAGAAACAUUCAACAAACAUACUUGAAAGUGAGAUGUUUAAUUUAUGUUUCAAAAUAGAUUUGUUGGUACAAGAGAUUCAAAUGAAUAAUUGGAGUCCGUUGCAUGAGAUUAAUUGUGUAUAUGUUUGAGAGUAGGGGUGGCAAGACGGAUCCAACCUGUUGGGCCGGCCCAUUUAGUCCGUUAUUUUUGGUGGGCUGAGUCGAGGUUUUGAACUCGCUUCCUAUAGUUGGCUCGCUCCGUUUAACUUGUCGGAAAAACGGGGCGGGUCGGGGUGGGACGGGCCGGUCCUCUUAACUCGUUUUUCUUUCUUUUGUAGACUUAUUUUAUCCUUUUGGAUAUAUUUUGGUUGUUGAAUUUAUUUUAAGAUUUGUUUUAUGUUGCAAAUUUAUAUUAUGUUGGUGGAUUUUUCUUAUUUUGCUAUUAAGUAUAACGUUUAAUUUGACAAUUUAUUUUUGAAUUAUCUUAGUUUUUACCACAAAUUUAUUUGAUGUUAUUCUUUUAUAUUUUUUUAGGAUAAAAACAACAUAGUUAUUUUUAUUUUUAUUUUUUUUGUAACAAGUAUGUUGUAGAAAAAAUGCAUUAAAAAAACUUGUUUUUUUCCUCUAAAAAAGAUAAGUUUUUUGUUUGGCGGGCCGCCCGCCAACUCACGUGUCCGCCUCUAAAUGAGAUGGGAUGAGAUAUUAGACUCGAUCACUUAAUUUGACUCAGUUCAUCUCGUCCAAUUUUAAGAGGGCUUAGGCGGGGCUGGGCGGCCCGUUUUGCCAUUCUUAUUUCAGAGAAUAAAUUGGUAAAAGAAAAUAAUAAUGAGAUUGACAAUGAAUAGAUAAAUUUUAUUCCUUCAAAAAAAAGAAUAGAUAAAUUUUAUUAUUUAUUUUACUACAAUAUUUUACUAGAUAAAGUGGAUCAUGUCCAUCUGAAUGGUAGUUAUUAAUUAAAAAAAUAGAUAAAUUUUAUUAUAAUAUUUUACUGCAAUAGGAAUAAUAUUAUCUUAAAAAUAUAUAAAAUAAAUAGGAGAUUUUGAGUUGGAUUUUUCAUUAUUUCAAUUACACCUUUAAACAAAUUUUUCUAUAAUAAUAUUAGAAAAUUGUUGUUGACACAUAUGAUAAGGCUGAGACACCCAACUAAAAUACGUUUUUGUCCCCUCGGCAGUUAACUGCCGAGAAAUUCCAAAACCGGCUGCAGUUAAAUGCCGAGGAAAACCUCGGUAGUUAACUGCCGAGAAAAACUGGUUAUGCAGACAGUGGAUUCUGCAUAAUUCUAAAGCAUUUCCAAGCCAUUUUUCGACCAGAUUUUACCUGUAAUUAAACCAGAGCAUUUCCAAAGGCAAUAUAACUUAUACAACAUUUAAACUCAGUCAUAAACAAGUAAAAUACAAUAUUUUUUACAAUUGUUCAUAAUUAAAUCAAACCGACAUUUGGUUCAAAAUACACAAAAGUUUGAAAUUCAUCAAAAUGUUACAUAGUGUCCAUAAUUAAACAACACAUUACACAUCAUUAAAUUAAAUCCCUACUUACAUUCAACGCAAUUGCAUAUAGAACGAACAUACAUAUAUAAUAUAUUAUCUUACACCAUAUUCCGAAACAUAAAUCCAACGUCGCUAUCGUCGUGAAUAAGCCAAGGCAUAUAGCUUGCCGUUUUCCAUGCGUAUUCAUCUCUAGCUUCUCCUAGGUCUAUGAUGCAUGACAUUGGACCAAACAAGUGAUGUGUAUAUUGAUUUUCACCAAGAUGCUCAAAAUAAGUGUUAAGUUGUGCAUUCAAAUCAUCAAGAGAGUUGGUCGACGUUAUCAUAACCUUAAUUGUCUUUUUAAAAGCGGAGUACCUAACACGACCUUCGAUAUUUGCAACCUCGGACAUGUUUCACUUGACAAAAGCUUUAAGGAAAAAAAUCAUACAUUAGAGUAAAAUUAAAUGAAAUGUAAUAACGAAUAAAUCAAAUGCGUAAACAUUAAUAAGCUAUAAAUAAGUAUUGCACUAGUUUCACCACAUAAAAGUCAUAUUAUCAUAUAUAUCAAUAUAAAUUACAAAAUGUUACUUAUAUAUUGGCCACAAAAAAUUGGAGUUACAAUUUCGACCCCAAAAUACACGUCGGUGUAAUUUCUACCAAAAAAAAGGACUAACACCGACAAAAAAAUCAUCACUCAUUAAAGACCAAGUGAUUGGAGAAGAUCAAGUGAAUUAGAAUCUUCCUCAUCUUCCGCAAUAACUUUAAAUUGUUGCUUUGGUUUUUCGAGAGUGUCCAACAAAAUAGGCGCCGUUUUGUUUGACUCUUUUUGUGGUUUCGGCGGUUUGUUUCCACUUUCAAUAGCCAUGAGCUUUCGAAACGACUCAUAUUGAUCUAAAUACUCAUCUUCCCAAGUCACCGCAUCUUCUUUCUUGUGGUUGUGCCACUCCGUAGAUGAUGGAGGUAGUGGACAACCAUUCUUCAAAUAAAUAAGCACGAAAUGAUUCGGAAUUACCCCAAGGCACAUGAUGGGAGUUUUUUACUUACCCGGUGGUGGUGGCCCUCUUAGUGGGAAAAAAGAUUCCGAGUUUCCAUCUUCAAGAUUUGUCAACAUGACCACACACCUUUUGUAGUAAUUAGCAACAAUGUGUCCCAUGUCCGAAAAAGUCAACCACUUAUCGACAAGAUGUGCACAACCUUUCAUGUUUGCGGGAGGAUGUAAACCAUUUAAAAUGUAGUUAUAACGAUUCUCACCCGCAAAUACUUCAACAUAAUCAUCUCUAUGAUCUUUCAACUCUUGAAUAAGAUGUGUACGAAUCAUGAUAUGAUUUUGUUCGUUCAAGCCCGUGAACUCGGCUAUAGUCCGGAAUCCACAAUGUCCAUCGCCUAAAACAUCCAUCAUUUUUUCAAUAAAUGGAAGCAUGAAGUGUGUCAUAUAAUCAAUAGGUCUCAUAACCGGGAUAACCUUAGGCUUUCGAUACUGAGAAGGUGGUGGAAGUGGGGAAAAUGAUGUUUUACCAAGACGAGCACCUUUUUUUAUUUUAUAUGAUGAUUUUGUUGGUGAUGGUGACGGUUGACAUCCGGAUUUUGGGAAUCAACAACCUCCCACGAAGAAGGGAUCCGACUAGUCGAUGUAAUUUUUUCUUUAGACCUCGCAAUGUCCACUUUUUUCUUGACUCCCUUGGUUGGUACUUUUCGUGGUGGUGGAGACAUCAUCGUGGUUUGAGGAAAUGGAAAUUGCCGCAAAACCUCUUUGACUUCAAGCUUCAUUUCGUAAGGGAGGUUCUUGAGACGUUGUUGAAUACCGUUCCAUUCUUCAUCGACAGAAAAACCAUGGGCAUUACUUUCUUUGCCAUACGUAACCUAUGCCAAUGGUGGUAUAUCUCAUCCAAUAAAAUUGGCUUAUCUUCCAGGAUUUUAGUAGCAAUUUCACAUGAACAUGGUAGCCCGUAAGAUGUCCUUUGAAAACAACCACAAAUUUCCUUGUCCAUCCACAAUGUUCCCCUACAACGUGACUCUUCCAAAGAAAUGUUGUCCAAAGCAUAUCUGGACACAUGACCACCUAACCCGGAGUACAAAGUGACAUCUUUGAACCUAUGUUCCAAUACGGUAACGCUCUGACCAAAGGUUGUUUGUAUCGCAUUGAACUGAAGCACCAACAUGUCAUGUAUUUUCUCCCAACAAGUACCCAAAUCACCCACAUUAUUGUCCAAAUAUUUCUUUCCUAAAGCAUGAGCCGAUUCUACCCUGUUGGUGGUUCUGCAGCCAAGAUGCAACACAUGGUAUGUCCAUGCCCUCACUAUUUUCUCUUUCACUUCUUUCAAGGUGGUCAUGGCAUAAUUUAGGAAAAGUGGGAAAUCACUACAUGCAUCUUGGAACUCCACUAAUGCAUUUGCAUAUAACUCUUGAGUGUGCGAUUCAACCAUAGCUUUCCAUGCCCUCAUUAUCUUCUUCACAACAUCGCGAGGUUUCACCUCUUUCCCAUCCUUUUUUCCCGAAGGAUAUUUACAAUCUAAGAUGCACCUUUGUUUAACAUUUUCUUGCACAUGAAAGCAACAAUUCAUUGCAUAACUUUCGGGGAAAACAUUUGCGACCGCUUUCAUCAAAGACAUAUCUUUGUCAGUCACAGUCACCCUAGGCAUAUUCAUCCUUGACGUAAGAAGUCUACGCAACAUUUUUAAAACCCAAACAAAGUUUUCCUCUUUCUCAUUUGUCACAAAUCCAAACCCAACCGAAUAUGUCAAAUCGGUCGAAGUGACCCGAACUACCUCAAACAUUGGCAUCUUGUACAUGUUGGUUUUGUAGGUGGAGUCCAUAACCAAAACCGUUGGAAAAUUGUUAAACAACUUAACGGAUGUUGGAUGAGCCCAAAAUAUAUCUUCGAUUGUAGUACUUUCACUUUGUGUUCUUGACAAAUAAGUAUAGUUGUGCUCCUCGAACUUCGAGAUUAGAUAUUGCAACGGCUUCUUGUCACCUCUAUUUGCCUUCCAUAUUUGUCUAUCAUUUUACGCUUGCUUGACCUUUGUCAUGCAAUGUGGUCUUUUGUUCUUCAAAUGUAUCAAAAUAUUUCUUGGAAGCAUCUUGCUCUUGGUCAAGUCAUGUACAAUCUUCUUGUCGUCCUCCUUUAAUCUAUCGGCAAGAAUGUGUCCUUCUAAAGCCAACUUCAUCGCCUGGUUGUGAACUUCAUUGAGAAUGUUCAAUCCCCAUUUGUGCUCCCCGAUUUUCGGAUAUCAAACCAUUGAUUGAUUUGAAUCGUCAAUCUUUGAACUCUCAAUUCUUUAUUCGUGGGAAGGGAAAAAAUGAGUAAAAACCCUUAUCGAGACUUUGGAUUCGGGUGUUGGUUUCGAAUAGGGAAGGUGUUAAGCACCCUAAACGACUUCGGUACUCCGAAGGAACCGCUUACCUAGAUUAUCUUGUGCUAAAUUCAUUUGGCUUACUUGAAAAAUUAUUACCUAAAAUCUAAGUGAAAGAAUGGAGGGAGAAGAAGUAUGUUUUUGGUUAUUUUUAUUUGAUUUGGAAGGACAAGUCCUCUGCCUACGUACCCUUUUUUGGGAAAGGGAUCAAAACCGACGUAGUUCCACUAAAAAAUUUCUUUGGUGGGUUAGGUUGAUUUUAAGAUUUUUGAAAAUGGUUUUAAGAAGAGAAAGAGACCUCAAGGCAUGAGAUAAAAGAAAUGAGUGAGGUUAAUUGAAAGUUUGAUUAAGAAAUAAAGGAAAAAAGUUAUUAAGAAAAUGAUUUUGAAGUUUUGCAUAUUUGAUUUUUUUGAGAAAAAUGAUUUUUCUAAACCAACGGUGAAAACUAACGUAACGUCGUAAAAGCGAACGGAAAGCGGUAAAUAAAUUGUGGUAGUGUCGGUGCAAGUGUCGGUGCUUGUGUUACCUACAUUAUUACAUCAAUUCCUAAAUACAACCCUAAGGCCUUUAUGCCAAAAUAAAAAUGCAAGAAAUAAAAUUACAUCAAUUCCCUAUUUAUACACACUAAAUCAAUGACAAAACAAAAUGAUGAGAAAAUUAAAUGUACAUGCUAUGAUUCAAGACAAAAAUUAAAUCGUUAGUAACAUAAGAAAUAUCAUGGUGAAUGAGACAUAAGUAAUAAAAAGCAAGGAAUUAAGCCAAGCAACAAUUAAGAUCAUCAUAUAAGAAAUAAACAAAAAAAUUUAAAAGAAAACAAAUAGGAUAGAUUUUUAAAAAUUAGAGAAAAUUAAAAUGGUGAGAACAAUAUUUUUGGAAUUUUUUCUAAACACAAAAAUGUCAAAAAAGUGUAAAAAACAGUAUUUAAAAAUAAAGACAAUUAAAAAUAAGAAAUAAAAAAAUAUUGGCUCAGCAGGAUCUAAUAUGGACUGUUGGAUGAAUCCAGAGGUCCAGAUAUGAAUCCCAAGAUCUCAUCACAGCCAUAGGAUCUAAGAUCCAACGGUUUUAAAAAUAAACAGAAAAAAAGGAAGGAUAUACUGGAAGCACAGUGACCGUCAGAUCAACGAUCUGACGGUUCAACAGCAGGCACGCAGUAUUCCACACAAAAGAAACAAACACUCAACCACAUACGAGAUGCAUCAUCGGCCGUUAGAUCUACGAUAUGACGGCCUAGCUAUAAUCAUACACGAUAAUAUGAUGGAACAACACACAUGGAAUUAAAAUAAAAUGAUGAGGCUAUAUAAAGUGGUUUCACCAAAAAAACAACAUAAAUCAAACAAUCCUUCUCUCUCUAAGUUAAACUUAGAGAGAGAAGCUCUCCCUUCUCUCUAAAAAACGUCACCGGAGAAGAUGAGGAGGGGUGGCCGGAGCUGCUCCGGCGCGGUGGUCGGCCAUAGCGCCGCCGCGUCAGAGUCUUUUUUUUUUAUUAUUUUUUUGAAAUUUUUUUACAUCAAAAGCUUCUUCUCCUUCUCCUCUAUACAAAUCCGGUGUUAUUUUUAAAAAGGCUAGAGAGAUUUGAGCUAGAUCUAGCAAAGAAAGUUUGAGUGAAAUUACCUUCGGUUUCAAAACGGAGAAGACCGGAUCUACUACUUUAAGCUCGAAUUCACUUCCUUCUUGCUAAAUUCCUCCGAUCUAGCUCGAAUCCGAUCCGAUUUGCUUCCCUUUUUGCUCCGGUUCGGUUCGUUUCUUUUACCUCUCCUUGAUCUUGCUCGAUCCGAGUUGUUGUUGAUAUGAGGAACAGAUUCGUUCUUCUUCUCUUCCAGUUCGGUUUCGAUUUGUUUGUGUUAUGUGUCGAUUUGAGUUGGUUUUGUGGAUUUGUGGUGUUUAUGUUGAUUUCUGGAAAAAAAAAAUUUAUGAGGACUAUUCAUGAAUAUUCAUGAGUGUUGUUGGUGAUGUUCAUAUUUUUUGUGAUUUUUGGUAUUUGAUCCGUAUUUGGAAUGAGAGAGAAAUGGGAAAGUGUUUGUAUUGAUUUGAGGGACUGAUUUGACUCCGAUUCUGACGCGGCUAUAGUGAAUUUUCAGACCCUCUUCCCAAUGAUUGGACAGUGUAUUUAUAGUGACAAAAUAGGGUUGGCUCCGGUACAUAUCAAAGACCAAAAUACCCCUGUUGGAGACUUGGGGAUAAAGACUUAACAAAUAAAAAUAAUAAGAAAAAAAAAGAAAAGAGGAAAGAAGAAAGAAAGUUACGUGAGUGACUUUCCUUUCUUUGUUUUUUUUUAAAAAAAAAAUUAAUAAAAUAAAAUAAUAUUAAACAAAAAAAAGAAAAAUAAAAAAUAACAAAUAAAAUAAAAAUAAAAUAUUAAUUAAUAAUAAAAAAAAAGUCCCUUCGAAAUCUCACAUGAGGUACUUCAAAGUAUCCUCCCUGCUGAAAUUUUGUCUGAAAUGAUUAAAAAAAACGCGACUUUUAAAAUACAGUUAGACCUUUUAAAAUGACUUGACUGUUAUGACUAAAACUUUUAAAUAUAAAAUGCGUCUAAAAGUUAUAAAAAAAAAACAGAUGAAGUGAUUUUAACUGUUGUAAAAAGCGAGCAGAGACUUAAAUGCAAGAUGACAGUUUUUUUUUUAAUAAUUAAAGACGACACAAAAACGAGUUUUAAAUGGUAAAAGAAACGGAUAAAAGAUUUCAAACGGGCCAAAUUUGGGGUAUGACAGAUGCCCCUAUUUAAGUUUCUUCGUCACGAAGGUUUUAAAAGGGAAAACUUUUAAACCACAGGGUCGAGGAGACUUAAAUAUAAACAAAACGCCAAUUUUGGACCGUUUGAAAUACCAGAGAUGCGAUGCUAAUGAAGGUGAUGAUAUGACCGAACAUGAUGCAAGCAUGAAUGUACAGUUGAUGCCUAAAGACUGACUAGGGAACAAAAGGAUAGGUAUCACUAGGGAAGGAAAUGAUAGAUAAUGCUUAUGAUUGCUGUGAGAUAGCUUGAAACGACUGGAGUAUAAAUGAUAAUGUUUGUUAAUAUUGCUUCAAGGUAAAGGUAAGGACAUGAUUAGCCGACGAGUGGCGAAAGUAAAGACAUGAUUAGCCGACGAGUGGCGAAAGUAAAGACAUGAUUUGCCGACGAGUGGCGAAAGUAAAGACAUGAUUGGCCGACGAGUGGCGAAAGUAAAGACAUGAUUUGCCGACGAGUGGCGAAAAUAAAGACAUGAUUUGCCGACGAGUGGCGAAAGUAAAGACAAGACGGACCGACAGGGUUUGCUAACAUUGUGGGAUAGCAAACAUACGGUAAAAGUGAAGACAUUGUAAAGCUUGGUAUCAGGGGAGUGACUUGAUAAAGAUAAAGUUGAGGGGAACAGGGAAUUUGUCUGAAGACAAUGGGGAAUUAUAUAGACUGAUUACUGGUGAGACCUGCCAUUUUGGAACACGUUUGAUUUGCUGACAUUUUGGAGUUAGACACACUAGGGGUGAUAUCUGAGGAUAUUGAAAUAAGCCAUUGGGUAAAAAUGCAACUAUGUAUGGAUGAUAUUUAUAUGCGUGUUAUGUAUGCAUGAAUGAAUGAAUAUGUAUGAGACUCAUAUAACGGUAUAAUGGUAAGAUUGUUGAGACAGGACUGGGCAGGUCUACAAGGAGAAUGGCCCGGCAUCACUGUACGAACACUCAAAGCCUUCAUUGGGGAUAAAGUCACGGGGGAUGAAUCAACUAUUGUUAGGGUACAACCCUUAAACAUACUGCUGGGGUAAGUCCUCACAAACUGGGGUAGAAGUCGCCAUUUCAUCAAUGCAACACCGUAUUUUCAAGCUUGAAUAGUCAUUGCCUUUUGUAUAUAUAUUUGAAAUCCCUAACUUUUGCCUGGAUCGUCCUUUCGGAUUUUCGAUCCACCGGGGAGACAUUUUUCUUUUUGUAUGCCCCCUAAUUUUUACCUGGAUCGCCCUUUCGGGUUUUCGAUCCACCAGGGCGCUUUUUUUUUUUUUUUUUUUUGCAAUGACUAUUUCUUCUUUGUUGAACCUGCUUGUUUCGGACCAACUGUUGACACAUACUUAUGUGAUACAUUGUUUUUAAAGAUAAUAUGUUUGUCAUUUUUGUUUUUUUUUUUUGAAAGAAAACAUAAAAUCCUUAGAAAGGUUUUCAAAGUUUUCGCUUCAAGUACUAAUACUAAAAACGAAAGAAAGAUUUUUUUGCACAUAGAAUAAACAAGAAUUCCAACAAAGAGGCACAAGCUCAAAUUGAUUUAAUAGAAAUGGUAACCGGCCAAAGGCAUGGCACCACAGAUUACAAAGAGUUGGAAUAUGGUAAUUAUAUGGGACAGGUACAUUGAACACAAUAGCCGCUAUACUUCUUAACCACUUUGAAUUCCACAGUUUGGAUGCUUCAAUAUUAGAGAACUUCUGACAGUCAAGGUGUCUCGGGCGAGUGAUGUUUCAUCUGAUGCAGUUACUUGUCUCGAUCCUUAAUUUUUGCAUAGAUCGCCCUUGCGGGUUUUCGAUCUAUCAGGAUAUUAUUUUUUUUUUUUUGUUCUCUAAUUUUUGCCUGGACCGCCCUUUCGGGUUUUCGAUCCACCGAGACGCUCAUUUUUGGUUUAAGCCGCCCUUUCAGGUUUUCGACCUACCGAGCUGUUCUUUUAUAUAUUUAGACAAAGUAUUUCUUGACUGCAUCAGAAUUCACAGGACGAGGUAACUCCUCUCCAUCCAUAUUUGUAAGAAUUAAAGCACCACCAGAGAAAGCUCUCUACACCACGUAGGGACCUUCAUAGUUUGGCGUCCAUUUUCCCCUAGGAUCUGGUUGAAAGGAUUUGAUACAUUUGACCACAAGAUCUCCUUCCUUGAAUUCACGGGGAUGGACUCCUUUAUCGAAUGCUUGUUUCAUCCUUGACUGAUAUAGCUGUCCAUAACACAAAGCAGCCAUACGUUUUUCCUCAAUCAAAUUCAACUGGUCGUACCUGCUCUGGCACCAUUCAGCUUCAGACAAUUCAGCUUCCAUCAAGACUCUUAAAGAAGGAAUCUCAACCUCUACAGGUAGUACAGCCUCCAUACCAUAAACCAAAGAGAAAGGGGUUGCCCCUGUCGAGGUUCGCACUGAGGUACGAUAUCCAUACAAAGCGUAGGGUAACAUUUCAUGCCAGUCCUUGUAAGUAACUACCAUCUUCUGUAUGAUCUUCUUGAUGUUCUUGUUUGCAGCUUCAACUGCCCCAUUCAUCUGUGGUCUAUAAGGAGAAGAAUUGUGAUGUUGAAUCUUGAAGUCAUCACACAACUCUUUCAUCAUGUUGUUAUUCAGAUUUGUGCCAUUGUCUGUGAUGAUUCUGUUGGGAACACCGUAGCGGCUGAUGAUGUUGUUCUUGAUAAAUCUGACCACUACCUGCUUGGUCACAUUGGCGUAAGAUGCUGCUUCAACCCACUUAGUGAAAUAAUCGAUAGCCACUAAUAUGAAGCGAUGCCCAUUGGAAGCUUUUGGUUCAAUCCGACCAAUCAUGUCAAUGCCCCACAUAGAGAAGGGCCACGGGGAAGAGAUGACAUUGAGCAUAGAUGGUGGUAUAUGAAUCUUGUCAGCAUAAAUUUGACAUUUGUGGCAUCUCUUGGUGUAACGCCCUAGUCGUCAUUUAUUUAUUUUAGAGUUAUUUAGAGUCUUUUAUGCAUUUUAUGAAAUUAUGUGUGACUUAUUUGGUGUGUUAUUUUAUUUAUAUGAUUUAAUUUAAUUUAAAUAGAAUAAAAUGAAUAAUAGAGUUAUUUAGGAGGUUAGGGAUUAAUUGGAAAUUAAUAGAAUUUAGGGGAGGUUUAAUGUAAUAAGAGGAGUUACACUUUAAGAAAGAAAAGAAAGGAAAAAGUGAGAAAACUGUUUUAACGUGAAAACAAGUGGGAGAAGAAAAAGCUAGGCAAAGGAGAAGACCAAGAGAGAAGAACCUAGGAAUUGUUUUGCUGUGCUUUUGUCUUUGCAAUUCAAAGGUAAGGGUGGGAUUAUCCUUCAGUAAUGAUAAUAUAUGAUUUCUGAAAAUUAAGCAAUUUAACUGUUUUAUGGUAAAAUUGGGAAAUUAGGGUUAAUGGCAUUUUUGAAGAAAAUAUGUAAGACUUAGGUUUAUAAUGUUGUAUUUGAUGAUUAAUAUGAUUUCCUACUCUGUAUUGUUGAUGUUGAUCAUAAUUGGAUGAAGGUAGAAUAUAAUGGAUGAAGUUUUGAAAGUUCUGAAUGAAUGUUUGAUUUGAAUGAAUUGUUGUUGUUGAUGUUGAAUUGCCGUUCUUUUGAUAGCUGGUUGUACAUAGGACUUGUAAACAUUUCAGGAAAACGUUUUGGGUGAAUUGGGGAUUAAAAUUGGGUUUUUGGAGUGAGGAGAAGUCUGAAAAUCGUAGCUUUUACCCUGCCCAGACGAUUGGUCGCUUAAGCGAAGUAUCCGUCGCUUAAGCGAACAUUCAUGUGAACUACCCAGAAUGUGAUUUUACCCGUUCGCCUAAGCGAACAGUGAGCGAACUGGUAAGCGAAAAUUAAGUUUGAUUCUGCCAAGAAUUCGCUUAAGCGAAUGGUAAGCGACCUUGUGAGCGAAAAACCAUUUUGAUUCUGUCCAAAGUUCGCUCAAGCGAACCGUGAGCGACCCGUAAGCGAACUGAACCCAGACCUACUGUAAGUUGGUCGCUUAAGCGAGCUAGCCGUCGCUUAAGCGAACUGAGUGUUAGUUAGCUUUUUCUGAACCUUGCUACAUACUGAGGGAUCCUUUUGAGUAUUUCUAGAUGUUCCUUACAGCUUGUAUAACUUUUGUAUAGACUUAAAGUCCUACUUAAAAUCAUGAUGAUAAUUAGUUGGUUAAUUUUAUGAAUUUGAAUGUUGGAAUGCUUGAAUCAAUUGGAUGAACAUGUUGCAUUGAAAAGGUGCGGAGUCGUAUGAGUACAUAUGCAUUUGUUGUUGAGUUGUAUGCAGAUAUACACAAGUGGAGUCAGUUGCAUAAGCAUAAAAACGAUGAGAACUUCGGUUCUGGAACGCUUUGUCGUUCAAAACGAUGGAACACGAUGUUGUUCAAAACGAUGUUAACGAUGAGGACUCAUGUCCUGAUAAAAGAAUGCUUUAACCAUUCUAUAACGAUGAGAGCUUCGGCUCUGAUAUGGUACCACAUGCAUAAUUGCAUUUGUUGAGGAGUCUUAGAAGGGUUGUCAUGUCUUGCAUGAGUCUUAGAAGUGAAGUCGAGUAGUCGCAUGAGUAUUGUUACUGUUGACAUUGUUGUGGGAUGAUGAAGUUGAUAAUAAAUGUUAUAUUAUGAUUGUUGAAUGAUUAUGAUGAUAGGGUGUUAGAUUCAUUAUGUUAUUAUAUAUUAUUAUUAUUGUUGGAGAAUCUCACCCCUUCUGCUUGAAAAUGUUGCCCUUCCUAUGGGUAACUUGCAGGUGAUCCUGAGUAGUAGGUGGUGGCUCACAAAGUCUAGGGCUCUGAUACAUGGGAUGGGGUUUUAUUAUUUGAAUUCUUUCCUAUGUAUCGAUUUUGAAUUAUAA
rnacentral:lncRNA from 1 species